rnacentral:rRNA from 1 species
UACGUAGGGGGCAAGCGUUGUCCGGAAUCAUUGGGCGUAAAGCGCGUGUAGGCGGUCCGGUAAGUCCGCUGUGAAAGUCCAGGGCUCAACCCUGGGAUGCCGGUGGAUACUGUCGGGCUAGAGUACGGAAGAGGCGAGUGGAAUUCCUGGUGUAGCGGUGAAAUGCGCAGAUAUCAGGAAGAACACCCGUGGCUAAGGCGGCUCUCUAGUACGGUACUGACGCUGAGACGCGAAAGCGUGGGGAGCGAACAGG